ACUUUGAUUUUUAUAUAUAUUUUAGAUGGCACAACAAGAAGCAAUAACUAGUGAUAUUAGUCAACAAUCAAUAGCUGCACAAGUUCAAGAUUCAAGUCAGUCUAAUGCUACCUCAAAAGCAAAGAGAAAAAAGAUGAGGCCAAGGUCAAUAGCAUGGGACCACUUCACUAAAAUCACUGAUGAAAAUGGUGAUCCUAAAGGCAAGUGUCUUUACUGUGACGUUAUUAUUUCUGCAUGUCCAAAAAAAAUGGCACUACUGCAUUAAGGAAUCAUAUGAGUAAUUGUAGAAAACAUCCCCAUGCUGUAAGCACUCACUAGGCACAAUUAAGUUUGCAACCAGGAUCUAGAGAGCAUGAAGGGGAGGGUGAUAGAAUGGGUACUCUUACUAACUGGAAGUUUAAUCAAGAGGCUAUUAGAAAGGCCUUAUCUUUUAUGGUGUUCGUGGAUGAAUUGCCUUUUAAAUUUGUUGAGGGUGAGGGGCUUAGAAAUUUCAUGUCAGUUGCAUGCCCUAGGUUCUGCAUUCCAUCACGAUGGACUGUUUCGCGUAAUUGCUUUGAUCUAUACCUGAGAUGCAGCUGUUCCUGCGAGAGAGGGCAUUAAUCCCCCAUAUAACCGUUCCCAUCCUUCGUGCUUUACAACCUGACAAAUUUGCUCUAUGGUUCCAAGCUUCCUCUUCUCUUUCUUCGGAUCACGCUCCGUUUGUUGCCGAGUAUUUACAGUUUGAAGAGGAUAAGUGAGGAGCUGAGCGAUGAUACCGCCGCCAGCACCGGCGAGUCCAUUGAUCAAAGCGUCAGACAUGUAAAAUUUUCUCGGGAAAAUCCGCUAUCUAAGCUCCAAUUUGCCGGGAAAGUGUAGAGAAACGAAGAACAAAAGCACAGAGAAAGAAAGAGAGAGAGAGAUCUAAUUGUAAAAUAACUGUGGGAUUGGCCGUAGCAGAGUAAUUUCAGAUGGUGACGAAGGGACUCGCUUUCAGAAGAAUCCUCCCCAUCCCAUGUCGUCUUCCAUCCCCGUGUUUAGUUGUUCCGUUGAAGAAAGGUGAAAGCUCGCUUGUAAUUACGUGGUUGUUGAGGCGGCUGUAUAUUUACCAUUUUGUCCUCACUAUAUACUUUUCGUUCGCUGAUUUGUCCUCCUCACGCUGUCAACACUUUCCAACUACCAAGAAGCAAAAACCAAUUAUUU
rnacentral:misc_RNA from 1 species